UACGGAGGGUGCAAGCGUUAAUCGGAAUUACUGGGCGUAAAGCGCACGCAGGUGGCUGAGUCAGUCGAUUGUGAAAGCCCUGGGCUUAACCUGGGAAUUGCAGUCGAUACUACUCAGCUAGAGUAUGAGACAGAGGCAGAUGGAAUUCCGCGUGUAGUGGUGAAAUGCGUAGAUAUCGGGAGGAACACCAGUGGCGAAGGCGACUACCUGGCCUGUUCUUGACGCUGAGGCGCGAAAGCUAGGGGGAGCAAACGGG
rnacentral:rRNA from 1 species